rnacentral:rRNA from 1 species
GACGAGCGCUGGCGGCGUGCUUAACACAUGCAAGUCGAGCGGUAAGGCCCUUUCGGGGGUACACGAGCGGCGAACGGGUGAGUAACACGUGGGUGACCUGCCCUCAGCUCUGGGAUAAGCCUGGGAAACCGGGGUCUAAUACUGGAUAUGACUCCAUGACGCAUGUUGUGGGGUGGAAAGCCUUGUGCGGCUGAGGAUGGGCCCGCGGCCUAUCAGCUUGUUGGUGGGGUGAUGGCCUACCAAGGCGACGACGGGUAGCCGGCCUGAGAGGCGACCGGCCACACUGGGACUGAGACACGGCCCAGACUCCUACGGGAGGCAGCAGUGGGGAAUCUUGCGCAAUGGGCGAAAGCCUGACGCAGCGACGCCGCGUGAGGGAUGACGGCCUGGU